rnacentral:lncRNA from 1 species
UUAUGUUCCAGGCACAUCUCUAAACUAAACUUACAUCUUCCUCUGACUCAGCUGGGGGAUGAAUGUCUCUUUUGAAGCCAGUGAUGCCCACUUCUGGGACGAGAGGGAAGAAAGAGAGGGAGAUGACCAUGUUAGCCUCAGAUGAGAUGAUUUUAAGGCAUGAGAAAGUGGUUGCUUCUUAUUUCAUGCUGUCUGCUUGCUUUGGCACCCUGUUUAAAUGCUCUGAAGUUUGUACAGCUGGAAUAUAAACCCUACCUUCCUCACACCGAAUGAAUGGCUGGAGAAGAGCCCUAAAGGCGUGUUCACACCGGUGACACACUACCAGCAGAGACUGCCGUUAAAGACCAUUGCCCCGAUCUUAUCGCACGAAACAACAGCCACGAACAGAGGUGCCCUCCCGCCUCGGCAGCCCUGCCGUACAGCUGCAGGCUGGCUGCGGGGCUCCAGCGCCCAGCAGAGGGAGGCAGAGCCCGCCGCAACCGCUCUGCUCUCUGCUUGGAGCAUCCCUGCAGCUUGGAGGAACAACGCGGUCCCCUCAAAGCCCGUCCAAAAACAACCAUCUCCAUCAGCUCCAGCAUUCUGAGGCAUGUCCGUCACUCUCAAAAGUAACCCGCGUGGAGAUAGCGUGUGGAGGUGCAGAUUGGUGAUGUUCCGGCAUGUCCUGCAAGCCAACCUGUCCACAAAAAUCAUCCCUCAUUACCUUGAAGGCGAAGAACCGUGGCACAUCAGCCCUGCACAGCCCCACCACCUCCAGCAGCAACCGUGUUGCCAACACGACUGUCCCAACGACUGCUGCGAUGGCUUUGAUUGA